rnacentral:rRNA from 1 species
GCGGCGGACGGGUGAGUAACGCGUGGGAACGUACCCUUUUCUGCAGGAUAGCCACUGGAAACGGUGAGUAAUACUGCAUACGCCCUUCGGGGGAAAGAUUUAUCGGAGAAGGAUCGGCCCGCGUUAGAUUAGGUAGUUGGUGGGGUAAUGGCCUACCAAGCCUACGAUCUAUAGCUGGUUUGAGAGGAUGAUCAGCCACACUGGGACUGAGACACGGCCCAGACUCCUACGGGAGGCAGCAGUGGGGAAUCUUAGACAAUGGGGGCAACCCUGAUCUAGCCAUGCCGCGUGAGUGAUGAAGGCCUUAGGGUCGUAAAGCUCUUUCGCUGGGGAAGAUAAUGACGGUACCCAGUAAAGAAACCCCGGCUAACUCCGUGCCAGCAGCCGCGGUAAUACGGAGGGGGUUAGCGUUGUUCGGAAUUACUGGGCGUAAAGCGCGCGUAGGCGGAUCAGAAAGUUGGGGGUGAAAUCCCGGGGCUCAACCUCGGAACUGCCUCCAAAACUCCUGGUCUUGAGUUCGAGAGAGGUGAGUGGAACUCCGAGUGUAGAGGUGAAAUUCGUAGAUAUUCGGAAGAACACCAGUGGCGAAGGCGGCUCAC